rnacentral:rRNA from 1 species
UACGAGAGGUCCAAACGUUAUUCGGAAUCACUGGGCUUACAGAGUUCGUAGGCGGUACGGAAAGUGGGGUGUGAAAGCCCUCGGCUCAACCGAGGAACUGCGCUCCAAACUACCGUGCUAGAGGAAGAUAGAGGUGAGCAGAACUGAUGGUGGAGCGGUGAAAUGCGUUGAUAUCAUCAGGAAUACCGGAGGCGAAGGCGGCUCACUGGGUCUUUUCUGACGCUGAGGAACGAAAGCUAGGGGAGCGAACGGG